rnacentral:rRNA from 1 species
UACGAAGGGGGCUAGCGUUGCUCGGAAUCACUGGGCGUAAAGCGCACGUAGGCGGCUUUUUAAAUCAGGGGUGAAAUCCUGGAGCUCAACUCCAGAACUGCCUUUGAUACUGAGAAGCUUGAGUCCGGGAGAGGUGAGUGGAACUGCGAGUGUAGAGGUGAAAUUCGUAGAUAUUCGCAAGAACACCAGUGGCGAAGGCGGCUCACUGGCCCGGUACUGACGCUGAGGCACGAAAGCGUGGGGAGCAAACAGG